CCAGCACAUACUGGGCACUCAGCAAGUGCAGUUGAGGGAAGUAAGUGAGAGUACCAUGUUUUGGAGUGUGGUUGGCUGGCUCAGACUCUAGAGUACAGGGAGUGUCUACUUUCUGUCAGACCUUGGCUGAGUCACUUGCCUUCUCUCCUCAUCACGACACUGGUCAGGUAGUUACUUAUGCUAAUGAGCAGCUGAGAAAAGGAAUGGAAAGC
rnacentral:lncRNA from 1 species